AUGGUUCUUGGAGCGUUCUUCGCAACUGCAGCCUCGGUGCCAUGGAGGCGGAGCCUCCUCCUGCUCCCGACCCUUGUGCUCCUGUGGCAGCUCUGCCGGUUGCUGCACCGGCUGUGGUGGCGGCCGCGGUGCCUCGAGCGGGAGCUCCGGUCCAAGGGCCUCCGCGGCACGUCCUACCGCUUCCUCACCGGCGACCUCAGGGAGCAAGGCCGGCGGAACAAGGACGCCUGGUCGAGGCGGCUGCCGCUGCGGUGCCACGACAUCGCCCCUCGCGUGGCACCACUCCUCUGCGAUUCCGCCCGGGAGCACGGCAAGGUGAGCCUCUCGUGGUUCGGCCCGAUCCCCAAGGUAACCAUCGCCGACCCCGAGCUUGCCAAGAGCGUGCUGUCCGACAAGUCCGGGCACUUCGAGAAGCCCAAGUUCCCGGCGAUGUGGAAGCUGCUCGCCAAUGGCCUCUUGAACCACGAGGGCGAGAAGUGGGUCAAGCACCGGCGGCUCCUCAACCCUGCCUUCCAUCUGGAGAAGAUCAAGUGCAUGCUGCCAGAGUUUUCGGCGUGCUGUGAAGAGUUGGUGGGCAGAUGGACGGAGUCCGUCGGCUCCAGUGAAGGUACGCACGAGAUGGAUAUUUGGCCGGAGCUCAAAAACCUUGCCGGAGAUGUCAUUUCCCGCACCGCAUUCGGCAGCAGCUACCUUGAAGGAAUGAAGAUAUUUCAGCUGCAAACCGAGCAAGCAGAGCGCCUCAUCACAAACAUUCGGAGGAUUCUCAUUCCCGGCUACUUAUCUUUGCCAACCCCAAACAAUAAAAGGAUGCAUCAGGUUAAUAACGAGGUUGAAUCGAUUCUACGCGGUUUAAUUGCGAAAAAAACUAAAGCGAUAAAGGAAGGAGAAAGCACCAAAAACGACUUACUUGGCUUAUUGCUAGAGUCAAACAUGAGGCACACAGAUGACAAUGGUCAAUCCAGCAUGGGGAUGCCAAUUGAAGAUGUCAUCGAGGAGUGCAAGACGUUCUACUUUGCAGGAAUGGAGACAACAUCGGUACUACUCACGUGGACCAUGAUCGUUCUAAGCAUGCAUCCGAAGUGGUAA
rnacentral:rRNA from 1 species